UUUAGAGAAGUUUAGUGGAACCAUCUUAGUUAUAAAUCAUUUCUUCAUCAUCACUUAAUCAGCACUGUGUGUUUCUAAAGGCUCAGACAAACUGUUUCCCUCACCAUUAAGGUUGCCUCAUACUGCACUUGGGAUUUAAGGGAAGGGACCAUGCUGAUUGGCCAAUGGAGCAUGAAGAAAGAACAAAUGAAAAACGACCCAACAGCCAAAUCCCAAUGGGGGCUUGGAACCCUCGAAAGAAGCAUAACGGUGUGGUUUCCUUCCCCAUCUGUGUGAAGUUUCCAUCAUCAUUAUUGAGACAUAAGCAACAGAUAAUAUGUCACUGGUGGUGAUCUGGACUUCUGAUUCAAGUAUACAGACUUUGCUGAGAAAUUGAAAGAUGUGCAAGGCUUCUGAAAAGCCCAUGUGGACCUAUAUAGAAAAAAAUACAUUGUAAAUAAUAAAAUUUGACAUCUUAUUGAGACUUAUAAAGCACAUUUCAUAUAUUAUUUCAUUGAAGACAGAUGAGGAAACUGAGACUCAGAGAGAUUAAUUGGCUUGCCAGAUUUGAACUCUUUCUUUCUAUGUUCAGCAUGUGGUCCACCAUGCUACUCAGAACCUCCUUAGCUGACUAUAGAGGAGAACUGAAGAUGCUUUCCAACAUGAGGUAGGAUGAGAUUUUCUCAAAGAUCAUUAUAGAUCAGGGACAGGAUUUCUCAGGCACUUAGUACGUUCUGUCCCCAGAAAAUCUUAGAUAAAUGGAUGCCUCAGGAUUAGGUGUAACUUCAAAGGAUGUACAUGAUGAGGAAGAGAAGGGCAGGAUAGGAGAUAUGGGACAUUUUUUUUUUAAUUUGAGCUCACCCUAGUAGAGACAGUUGGGGAGCAUGACUAGUAGGAGGGCAAUGAUAGAAACUGUUUGUAAGAUUAUUUGUCCAAUGCAAAAUGCCUUUUGAUGCAACCUUCCCAUAAUGUGCCAAAGGAUGAGAAGUAAUGUCAAGAAAUAACAUGCUUUAAAAUGGACUGCCAUUCUUGGGAAAGAAAGGAUUCCGAUUUUAUGUAUUUGCAUAUGUCCAUUGAUAUAAAUAGAUAUACAUGGAUAUUGUUUAUGUAUAAAAACAAAUGUAUAUACCAUUCUUGUGAAAAGGAUUCCUAUAAAUGUAUGCAUGUAUACAUAUAUGUGCUUAUACAAUGCAUAUAAAUUAUUUGCACAUAGAAACAUGUUUAUAUAUACAUAUACAUACAUAUUCAUAUGCCUCUCUGAGUCUUUUAGUCUACCUUGAGCUUAUUUUUUGUCAAAUAAAGCUAAUUCAAAAUAUUUAAACUGAUAACCUCAAAUGAUUAUCUUCAUUUAUUUUCUGGGAGAAUUUUCCUUAGCAAAAUGCACGGUG